CACGUGAGUAGAGGAUGCCCUUAUUCUUCAUCUCCGACUUUCUCGGCUGUGUGGUUCAUGGUAUGCACACUGCCUCCUCUCCCCUCGCCAACUGCCCAGCGGCCGCAAAGCUAGAGCAACUGGUGGUGGAUAGUGCGACCGUCCUUCGGGCCAUCAUCCACCGCCGCGCCUCCCUCCCCUCGAGCUCACCUCCGCCCCUGCUCCAUCUCCAACGAGGGAAGGCAAGGUUCUAUUGGACAAAACAAGUACAUAGGUAAAAAUUGCAGAGCUAGGAUGAAAGGACAGUAUUGGGUGAAGAGAAUUUCAGGAACAAGAAUGCUCACCACUUGGACAGUCAAAGAAAAAUGGCGAUGUGAUAUAACCAUGGGUGGAGCCAACCCGCCAGAGAGCCUAAGCAAACAGCCAGCCUGCUGUUUGCCCAUGAAUAUACUGGAUCAAUUAUUAUCCCUUCAAGAAUCAAUACUUACCGAUACCUUGAAGAAAAACAAAGCAAUUAUGUUGUGUACGAAUAGUGAAAGGUAAUUUGCACCUUCAAUGCUUUCUUGAUUCUAAUGUAUUUUGUAUAUUUGCCGAUCAAGCUUGCUGCACUGUUUAGUCUAUAAUAUGGUGUGCAUUAGUUAAUUUUCUCUUGUGAGUUG